AGGACGAACGCCGGCGGCGUGCUUAACACAUGCAAGUCGAGCGGAAAGGCCCUUCGGGGUACUCGAGCGGCGAACGGGUGAGUAACACGUGAGUAACCUGCCCCUAGCUCCGGGAUAGCUCCGGGAAACCGGAAUUAAUACCGGAUGUGAUCACGGCCGACAUCGGCCACGAUGGAAAGAUUUAUCGGCUAGGGAUGGGCUCGCGGCCUAUCAGCUUGUUGGUGGGGUAAUGGCCUACCAAGGCGACGACGGGUA
rnacentral:rRNA from 1 species